rnacentral:rRNA from 1 species
UACGGGGGGAGCAAGCGUUGUUCGGAUUUACUGGGCGUAAAGGGCGGGUAGGCGGCCACCGCAAGUCGACUGUGAAAUCUCCGGGCUUAACCCGGAAAGGUCAGCCGAUACUGCGGGGCUAGAGUGCAGAAGGGGCAACUGGAAUUCUCGGUGUAGCGGUGAAAUGCGUAGAUAUCGAGAGGAACACCUGCGGCGAAGGCGGGUUGCUGGGCUGACACUGACGCUGAGGCGCGAAAGCCAGGGGAGCAAACGGG